rnacentral:rRNA from 1 species
UACGGAGGGGGCAAGCGUUAUCCGGAUUCACUGGGUUUAAAGGGGGCGUAGGUGGGCAAGUAAGUCAGUGGUGAAAUCUCCGGGCUUAACCCGGAAACUGCCAUUGAUACUAUUUGUCUUGAAUACUGUGGAGGUCAGCGGAAUAUGUCAUGUAGCGGUGAAAUGCUUAGAUAUGACAUAGAACACCAAUUGCGAAGGCAGCUGGCUACACAAAUAUUGACACUGAGGCACGAAAGCGUGGGGAUCAAACAGG